rnacentral:pre_miRNA from 1 species
UCAUCAGGAUGAUGAUGAUGAUGAUGAUGAUGAUGAUGAUGAUCACCAUCAUCAUCAUGAUCAUCAUGAUCAUCAUGAUAAUGGUUAUCACCAUCAUGAUCAUCAUCAUCAUCAUCAUCAUCAUCAUCAUCAUGA